AGAAGCGCAUGGAAUGAUUGCUAUGUAGGCUUGGAGCUGAUGAAUAAGUACUGCAUGGAACCAAUUUGGAGAAAGUGUUUUGCCCACACAUCUAGAAUUAAAAAAAAAUUAAGCAAGGAGAAAGGAAAAGGCUAUGAAAGAAAAGCAGGAAAGAAUAAAGAGAAAGACGUAAUAGAAGAAAGCAAAGAGAAAGAAAAUAAAGGAAGCUGACAAAGAAAGAUAAAAAAGGAAAAGCACGAAGGAGAGAAAUAAAGCAGAAAAAAGAAAGAAUAAUGCAAAGAAAGAAGGAAGAAGGGAAGGAAGGAAGGGAGGGAGGGAAGGAGGGAGGGAGACAGAUGAAGAGAGG
rnacentral:lncRNA from 1 species